CUACCAAGUAAUGCUGUUUUCUUUUGCCUUUUCCCGGGGAGCGAACGAGCACGAAAGAAGCACCAUUGAAUUCCCAAAACUCGCAUUCUCAAGCUCGGUCGAAUUCCCUAAACUCCAAAGUUCAGUUAAUUUCUUGACCAAAUGGCUUUUCGCACUUGCCACAGUCUAGGCCGCCCAUUAAUUGUUCCCAUCAGUUUGACUAAAACUCCCUCUCGAAACUGCAAUUUCUCUGUUCAGAAUUGCAGUUUAGGCCCUAAUCAGUCUCAUAAGCUAGUUUCAAAGGUAAAAGAUAAGCUUGAGAAAGAGCAUCAUGGUCUUCCAGUUGGAAAAAAUGGAAGAGAUGAUGAAGACAUGAUCCUCUGGUUUCUAAAGGACCGGAGGUUUUCUGUUGAAGAAGCUGUUGCAAAACUGACCAAAGCCAUUAAAUGGCGUCAAGAAUUUGGAGUGUCCACAUUGACUGAAGAGUCCGUGAAGAGUGUAGCAGACACUGGAAAAGCCUAUGUGCAUGACUUUCUUGAUGUCUAUGAUAGACCUGUACUUGUAGUGGUGGCAUCCAAGCAUUUUCCGGGUGUGCAUGAACCUGUUGAGAAUGAGAAGUUGUGCGUCUUUCUAGUUGAGAAGGCAUUGGCAAAGCUCCCAGCUGGAAAAGACGAAAUACUAGGAGUAUUUGAUCUCAGGGGCUUUGGUAUUGGAAAUGCUGAUCUCAAGUUCUUGACCUUUGUGUUUGAUGUAUUUUACUACUAUUAUCCAAGGCGGUUGGGCGAAGUCCUCUUUGUGGAUGCUCCAUUCAUAUUUAAGCCAUUUUGGCAGUUAGCCAAGCCCUUGAUAAAAUCCUAUGCAUCUCUGGUAUGAUAUAUCGGUGCUUGUUUUAUUGUCAUUCUUAGUAAAUUUGCAUAUUUUUUGUACAAUAAAGCUCGAGAUUAUAUUAGUGUACUUUUUCAUGCAGCUUCUGAUAUUUUGUAAUUUGUUGCAGCUUAUUUUUAGUAUGUGAAUUUAUAGGUUGCCACAAAAAUGGCUAUUGGUCUAAGGGCACACAAAUAGAUUAGCAUAACUGAGUAGGUGUUUGACUUGAAUGAUUAAACUUGUGGAUGUUGAUUGAAAAUUUCUGGAUCUGUAUUCUCACAGAUAAUUUAAGAGCUUCCUGUGUGAUUGAAAAAAAUUGAACACCUCCCAAAUUAUUACUAUGGAUUGUGAACAUAUGCUGCAUGCUUUUCUCUUUUCAGCAGAAGAUGAGAGGAAGCCAUUAUAAGCCUAUUAUCUCUAUCCCAACCACCUAAGUUAGGCACAGGCAGCAAUUUUGCUUGAUUUUGGUCAACUGUGAAUGAUUUAUUUAUUAAGAAAAAAAUUUAACAACCAGCCAAAUCCAACAUAUGGCCCUUUUGCAUUACUGUUGUGCUACAGAGCACCUAUUUCUUGUUCUAAGACAUUUAUCUAGUGCACUCUAGUCACUUCCAGCUUCUCCAUGUUCUGCAUUUCUAAAGAGUGAAUCCAGUAUGUUCUCUACAUUUUCUCUUGAACUCCAACAGAAAUUAGGGUUCAUCAGUUUGGAAUACAUAUAUUAGUUUGGCUAUGCAAAAGUUAGUUAUCAAUCACUGCAGUGGUUUAUGUCAUUAUGAGUAAAUAAGGAAGGCAUAUUUAGCUGGUGACUUUUUGUUCUAUUAGAGACUUGAGUCUGCUUGCCUAGAUAACAAGGUAAAUCCUGUUGGCAAUUGAAGUAUUUUGUCCUUGUUUUCACUGAAAGGUAAGUUUUAGAAUGCUGCCACAUAUGAAUAUCUGUUCCACGGCCAGGCAUAUACAAGUCCUGUCAAAGAAAAGUUUGCUUGCUUAUAUCUGUACAUGACCUAAUCUCGAGUAUUUGGAGUUAGUUGCAUCUAUCAGGAUUCUGUUCCCUCAAGUUAUCACAGCCAACACCUUGUCAUUUGUUCAUCCAUUGGUAUUGCCACUGAAUCUUAUGUUCUGGAUUCUAUUCCGUUGUAUCUAUCUUUGGCUUAUACUCAUUCAGUUGUUAUUUUGUAUCAAGUAUGCAUCUAGUGCCUCACACCCCAAAAUUUGUUUUUGAUAUACUAAUGCUCCAGCCUCUGUAGGCAUAAUUCUGUUAAUCAUCACAGGUGAUAGUGCUUUAACUAAUUUCAUGUUUGCCCAGUCAGUUAAAUGUCACUUAGUACAACUAUUAUCAUCCUAAUUCAUUUCUUUUUUCACGUCUUAUACUGACAUCUGAAUCUUUGAUGACUCGUAAAAUUAUGAUUUGAAACCCAUUUGAAAUAAAUCAUGCUACAGUUUUUUGAUACUAUGCCAUUCUGCUUUUCUGCCCUUGUGCCUAUUUUCGUUCAUUUCAACUGUUCAUUUGUUUCUGAAGGUGAGAUU
rnacentral:misc_RNA from 1 species